rnacentral:rRNA from 1 species
UACGUAGGGGGCAAGCGUUGUCCGGAAUCAUUGGGCGUAAAGAGCGUGUAGGCGGUCCGGUAAGUCGGCUGUGAAAGUCCAGGGCUCAACCCUGGGAUGCCGGUCGAUACUGCCGGACUAGAGUUCGGAAGAGGCGAGUGGAAUUCCCGGUGUAGCGGUGAAAUUCGUAGAUAUCGAGAGGAACACCGGUGGCGAAGGCGGCCUUCUGGACAGUGACUGACGCUGAGACGCGAAAGCGUGGGGAGCAAACAGG